GACAGAGGGUGCAAACGUUGUUCGGAAUUACUGGGCGUAAAGCGCGUGUAGGCGGCCAUCUAAGUCGGGCGUGAAAUCCCACGGCUCAACCGUGGAAGUGCACUCGAAACUGGAUGGCUAGAGUCCUGGAGAGGAAGGUGGAAUGCUUGGUGUAGAGGUGAAAUUCGUAGAUAUCAAGCGGAACACCGGUGGCGAAGGCGGCCUUCUGGACAGUGGCUGACGCUGAGACGCGAAAGCGUGGGGAGCAAACAGG
rnacentral:rRNA from 1 species